rnacentral:sRNA from 1 species
ACGUAUCACUCGUACACUCCGGCUGCUCCGCGGCGUCCACGCCCACCUGACGACUGCUCGCUACGUCCGGUAGCC